AAUCAACGCUGGCGGCGUGCCUAACACAUGCAAGUCGAACGCGAAAGCCCCGAAAGGGGCAAGUAGAGUGGCAAACGGGUGAGUAACGCGUGGGUGACCUGCCUUCGAGCGGGGGAGUAACGUUCCGAAAGGGACGCUAAUACCGCAUAACAUCCUGCCUUUGAAGAGGUGGAGAUCAAAGCUGGGGAUCGCAAGACCCGGCACUUGAAGAGGGGCCCGCGUCUGAUUAGCUAGUU
rnacentral:rRNA from 1 species